UGGGGAAUUUUGGACAAUGGGGGCAACCCUGAUCCAGCAAUGCCGCGUGUGUGAAGAAGGCCUUCGGGUUGUAAAGCACUUUUGUCCGGAAAGAAAACGUCGUGGUUAAUACCCGUGGCGGCUGACGGUACCGGAAGAAUAAGCACCGGCUAACUACGUGCCAGCAGCCGCGGUAAUACGUAGGGUGCAAGCGUUAAUCGGAAUUACUGGGCGUAAAGCGUGCGCAGGCGGUCCGCUAAGACAGAUGUGAAAUCCCCGGGCUUAACCUGGGAACUGCAUUUGUGACUGGCGGGCUAGAGUAUGGCAGAGGGGGGUAGAAUUCCACGUGUAGCAGUGAAAUGCGUAGAGAUGUGGGGGAAUACCGAUGGCGAAGGCAGCCCCCUGGGCCAAUACUGACGCUCAUGCACGAAAGCGUGGGGAGCAAACAGGAUUAGAUACCCUGGUAGUCCACGCCCUAAACGAUGUCAACUAGUUGUCGGGUCUUCAUUGACUUGGUAACGUAGCUAACGCGUGAAGUUGACCGCCUGGGGAGUACGGUCGCAAGAUUAAAACUCAAAUGAAUUGACGGGGUC
rnacentral:rRNA from 1 species